GUGGUGGCUUCAGAGACGGUGGGCUUUCCGGUGGUUCCAGCUCAAGCAUCAUGACGGGGAAGAAGUCUUCCCAGGAGAAGCGGCGCAAAAGGAGCGGCCCAGAGCCCAGCGAGCGCCGGAAGCGGCGGAGCACAGAUUCGGCCUCCGGGGUGCCGGGCUCCGCGCCGUAGGAAGCCAAAUAUCUUUUACCAACUUUGGAAAAAGAAUUAUUCUUGGCAGAGCACAGUGAUCUUGAAGAAGGUGGUCUGGACCUGACUGUGUCAUUAAAACCAGUUAGUUUCUACCUAUCAGACAAAAAAGAAAUGCUUCAGCAGUGCUUCUGUAUCAUCGGAGAGAAGUUACAGAAAAUGCUGCCUGACGUGUUAAAGAACUGUUCAGUAGAAGAAAUUAAAAAAUUAUGCCAAGAACAGUUAGAACUCCUAUCUGAAAAAGAAAUAUUGAAGAUUCUUGAGGGUGACAAUGGUAUGGACUCUGAUAUGGAAGAGGUGGCAGAUGAUGGCUCGAAGAAGGGAUCUGAUUUAGUCAGUCAACAAGACAUCUGUACAGAUUCUUCUUCAUCCCUGAAAGAGAACAAGCAACCUGAAGGUCUGGAAUUAAAACAAGGCAAAGGGGACGAUAGUGAUGUUCUCAGUAUACAUGCAGAUGCUUAUGACAGCGACAUAGAAGGCCCAUGCAAUGAAGAGGUCGCAGAAAAUACAGUCCAGAGUGAAGCUGGUCAGAUAGAUGAUCUGGAGAAAGACAUUGAGAAAAGUGUGAAUGAGAUUCUGGGACUGGCAGAGUCUAGCCCAAAGGAGCCCAAAGCAGCUACCCUAACUGUUCCUCCACCAGAAGAUGUUCAGCUUUCUGCACAGCAGCUGGAGCUGCUAGAACUUGAGAUGAGGGCAAGAGCCAUUAAAGCCCUGAUGAAAGCUGGUGAUAUGAAAAAGCCAGCCUAGUUAUUUAAUUUGAACCUGAAUUUUAGGUGUGUUUGAACAAAGCCACAUGAUAUGACUUUGUAUCUGAAAUUUAUUUGGAUCUUACAUGAUAUUUCUCAUGUAACCCUUGUUAGAUAAACUCAAUCUAGACCUAAAAUACCUAUGGCUAUUUUUGUUGAUGUUACUUUUAUAUUAUAUAUGUGUUAUUGUUUUAUGAGUUCAUGACAAAUAUUGUUAGAUAAUUGGAUACUUUGUUAGAUAAGUAUUUUAGCUUGUCUGCAGAUUAAUAUCUGAAAAGCCAUUAGCAGAGUCAUGGUAAUUUUUUUUCUUAAUUUUUAAAUAUUUUGGUACCAAGCCUAAAAGCUUAAAAAAAAUUGACUAAGCAUGUUGCUCUUAAGACCACCUAUAUUUUGCAAUGAUGCUGAAACAAAAACAAAACCAGCUAACAGAGCUGUUAAUAAAAAACUUAAUAAUUAUUAUGAGAAGCAAUAAAAUGAAAAUCAAUCUUAGAUAACAAAACAAAUUUCCAAUCACAUAAAUACAUUUUAUUUUUUAUUG